CCAAUAGCGUAUAUUAAAGUUGUUGCAGUUAAAAAGCUCGUAGUUGAACUUCGGGGUCUACCCAUUGGUCAGGCUUAAUUGUCUGCACUGGUGAGAUGGAUCUCUACCUUCUGAGGAACUUUCAUGCCAUUUAUUUGGUGUGGUUGGAAAUCAGGACUGUUACUUUGAAAAAAUUAGAGUGUUUAAAUCAGACUAUCGUCUGAAUACAUUAGCAUGGAAUAAUGAAAUAGGACGGACUGAUUCUAUUUCGUUGGUUUCUAGGAUCACCGUAAUGAUUAACAGGGAUAGUUGGGGGCAUUAGUAUUCAAUUGUCAGAGGUGAAAUUCUUGGAUUUAUUGAAGACUAACUACUGCGAAAGCAUUUGCCAAGGAUGUUUUCAUUAAUCAAGAACGAAAGUUAGGGGAUCGAAGACGAUCAGAUACCGUCGUAGUCUUAACCAUAAACUAUGCCGACUAGGGAUCGGAUGAUGUUAAUUUUUUAAUGACUCAUUCGGCGCCUUACG
rnacentral:rRNA from 1 species